rnacentral:rRNA from 1 species
UGGGGAAUAUUGGACAAUGGGGGAAACCCUGAUCCAGCAAUGCCGCGUGUGUGAAGAAGGCCUGCGGGUUGUAAAGCACUUUUGGCAGGGAAGAAAAGCACUGGCCGAAUACGCCAGUGUGUUGACGUAACCUGCAGAAGAAGCACCGGCUAACUCUGUGCCAGCAGCCGCGGUAAUACAGAGGGUGCAAGCGUUAAUCGGAAUUACUGGGCGUAAAGGGCGCGUAGGCGGUUAGGUAAGUCGGAUGUGA